rnacentral:misc_RNA from 1 species
GUUCUACAGCUAUUCUAUAAGUCAGAAUGUAUACUUGACUCCAUAGCUUUGCCCCCAUAUUAAUUUCAUGGUCUGCUUUAAUUUUCUGUUGGAGAACUGCCUGAUACAAUGUCAAAGCCCGGUCCAACUCUUGCCCUUCUAGGUAAAAUGCUAGUUUUGAAAAAGCAUCACCAUUGCUAGAGGAUGGAGGAUACUGACUUUGUCUACUCAUGUCUUCCGCAGAAGGAUCUUGUACUAGCUUCUCUACAGAGGCAAGAUGACUAUCAUUUGAAAAUGUAGUUUCACCAGGAUUUCUCUGUUGUAAAUUUUCUGCUUGUCCCAGGGGAGACUCUGAUAAUUUAGCCUCAUCUUCCUGAAUCUCAGUCAAAUCAGUAGAC